rnacentral:rRNA from 1 species
AACGAACGCUGGCGGCAUGCCUAACACAUGCAAGUCGAACGAGACCUUCGGGUCUAGUGGCGCACGGGUGCGUAACGCGUGGGAACCUGCCCUUAGGUUCGGAAUAACUCCCCGAAAGGGGUGCUAAUACCGGAUAAUGUCUUCGGACCAAAGAUUUAUCGCCUUUGGAUGGGCCCGCGUUGGAUUAGCUAGUUGGUAGGGUAAAAGCCUACCAAGGCGACGAUCCAUAGCUGGUCUGAGAGGAUGAUCAGCCACACUGGGACUGAGACACGGCCCAGACUCCUACGGGAGGCAGCAGUGGGGAAUAUUGGACAAUGGGCGAAAGCCUGAUCCAGCAAUGCCGCGUCAGUGAUGAAGGCCUUAGGGUUGUAAAGCUCUUUUACCCGGGAUGAUAAUGACAGUACCGGGAGAAUAAGCUCCGGCUAACUCCGUG